rnacentral:rRNA from 1 species
GACGAACGCUGGCGGCGUGCCUAAUACAUGCCAGUUGAGCGAUGAAGCUUGGUGCUUGCACCAAUUUGAAGAGCAGCGAACGGGUGAGUAACGCGUGGGGAAUCUGCCUUUGAGCGGGGGACAACAUUUGGAAACGAAUGCUAAUACCGCAUAAUAACUUUAAACAUAAGUUUUAAGUUUGAAAGAUGCAAUUGCAUCACUCAAAGAUGAUCCCGCGUUGUAUUAGCUAGUUGGUGAGGUAAAGGCUCACCAAGGCGAUGAUACAUAGCCGACCUGAGAGGGUGAUCGGCCACAUUGGGACUGAGACACGGCCCAAACUCCUACGGGAGGCAGCAGUAGGGAAUCUUCGGCAAUGGACGAAAGUCUGACCGAGCAACGCCGCGUGAGUGAAGAAGGGUUUCGGAUCGUAAAACUCUGUUGGUAGAGAAGAACGUUGGUGAGAGUGGAAAGCUCAUCAAGUGACGGUAACUACCCAGAAAGGGACGGCUAACUACGUG